rnacentral:lncRNA from 1 species
CUACUUUAUUCUGUUAUGAAUGACCAGGCUGGGUCCAGUUCAGGCUGGCAUAUCAGGUAGAAGCAGGACACGUGAAACUAAAUUUAGUCAUUACACAAUACUUUCUGCUGGCCUAGAUUUACAAGGAGAAAAAUGGGGUUUCUACAUUCAGGUUAAAUAAGUCUGCAGGUGAUACUGCUGGAGAAAUAACACACCAUCUAAUUCACUGAAUGCAGCUUCUGAUAGGACUGUGAUGUGCCAGCUGGAUAGAAUCCUGAUAUGAAUGGCUAUAAACCUUUUUAUUAAACAUGAUUCAGCUUGUCUUUACUUUCCUCUCUCCUCUAGUUCUCAGAAUUGCAAUUUCUAUCUUUUUUAUAUGGUAGGAAAAAUAAGGAAAAGAAUGAAAGAUUUUGUCUGGAUUAUGAACCUCUUUUCUCAGACCUCCUAAAUGGAAAUUGUUCCUGGAAAGUUUGGACAGUUCCUUUUUUUCUCUUAAUAAUUGCAAACACUGAACCACCACAGCAGAAGUGAGAUUUGUAUUGCCAUACACUACUUGGAGAUUUUCUGUCCAUUAUGACUUCUCCCUGCCUCUUUCCCCUGUCUUCUAGUGCAUCUUCUAGUGCACAGCUUGUGGAAAUAUGUCACAUUUCUGUGGUGCAGCAGAGUGGGAGGCAGAAAAUCUGGAUCUUAUUACCAGUUUGGCCAUGGUCUUCCUAUGUGAACAUGGUAUGGAUUCUUCUGGGCAACCUGAAGCUUCUCUGUGCAGCGAAAAAGUGGCUACAGCUGCUCAUGCUCAUGCUCACGCUCAUACCACCCAGAUGUCCUGGGAUGUGGCUGCAUGGCAGCCCAGACCUGCUCUUCAACAGCUCCUCAGCUACAGGUCCCUGAGAGACCACAUGUGAAGUUCACAGUGAAAGCUCUGCAGCAGAAGCCCUGGCAACAGAAUAAGUGGAACAUACUUGGCUGUCAUUUUUCCAGUCUUUGCUGCAGUCCUGAAUUGCACUAAAGGGAAGCUAUUCAUUGGCAACUCUGUGCAGAUGAAACAAUUUCAACAAUUGUGGACAACUGUGAACAGAUGAAAAAUUUCAAAUCCUAUGUGAAGUUUCAGGUGAAAAUCUACCCAUGCUUUGCUCUUCUGGGUGAUGAAAUAAUUUCCUGAAGAAACUACGCCAUAAUGUCAAAAUGUUUAAAGGUACUUGAUUGUGAAAUGCUGAACAUCUUGCUGUUUGGCAUGGCUGCUUUCCCACUUCUAAUGCUUUUCAAAGAGUAAAUACAUGCUGCAUCUAAUAAUGACCACGAGUCUGCAUUAGAGAUAUACUACCUGGAACUGGAAGCUGAUGGGCAGACCUGAAAGUAUUGCAGAACUAAGUUUUAUCUGCAUGCUCCCUGAGUAUGCAGAGCUGUUAAUCACAUGUGCACAGUCUCGAAGACAAAGACCAGAAAACUCACUGAGAUUUUGAAACAACAAUAAUGUAAAGCCCAUUGCAAGAUUUAAUAUAAAGUCUGAACUGUAUUCUGUGAUGUAUCUGGUUCUUGUUUGAUGUACUUCUAUUGCCAGAGUUAAUAUAGUGUUUGCAGUGCACACAUGAAGCAGAUAUGCCCAGAUUCCUCUCUAAAAGAAUUCAAUUAUUUUAUAGUCGUGCAGGCUAUCUUUUCUGUUAUUUCUUCCCCACAAUUUCUAUGGGCUUUAUUUAGUUAUGUAAGUUGUUUUUAACAGCUUUCAGCAUGAUUUGCUUUAAUAUAAUGGUAGCGAUAGAUGGUUAUAGAGAAGGUUAUAAAGGUUCUUAUAAGAAAUUUCUAAGUAAGAGGGAAGUCCCUCCUUCUUGGGAAUUUCCAAAGUCUGAGAGAAAAUAAUUCUCAAAUGAACUAUUCAGACACAAGCUUUUCUAUUCUCAGGUGGUAAAGAUUAUGUAUUUUAAUACAGCAGAAUAAAAAUCACCCUCCAACACA